AUUGAACGCUGGCGGCAUGCCUUACACAUGCAAGUCGAACGGCAGCACGGGUGCUUGCACCUGGUGGCGAGUGGCGAACGGGUGAGUAAUAUAUCGGAACGUACCUUAUUGUGGGGGAUAACGCAGCGAAAGCUGUGCUAAUACCGCAUAAUCCCUAAGGGGGAAAGCGGGGGACCGUAAGGCCUCGCGCAAUUAGAGCGGCCGAUACCUGGUUAGCUAGUUGGUGAGGUAAAGGCUCGCCAAGGCAACGAUCAGUAGCUGGUCUGAGAGGACGAUCAGCCACACUGGGACUGAGACACGGCCCAGACUCCUACGGGAGGCAGCAGUGGGGAAUUUUGGACAAUGGGGGCAACCCUGAUCCAGCAAUGCCGCGUGAGUGAAGAAGGCCUUCGGGUUGUAAAGCUCUUUUGUCAGGGAAGAAACAGCAGCUCUAACACAGUUUGCGAAUGACGGUACCUGAAGAAUAAGCACCGGCUAACUACGUGCCAGCAGCCGCCGUAA
rnacentral:rRNA from 1 species